GGGUUAGGGUUAGGUUUAGGGGUAGGGAUAAGGGUUGGGGUAGGGUUUGGGGUAGUGUAAGGGGUAGGUUAGGAGUAGGGUUAGGAAUAGAGUUAAGGUUACCCUGCCCCUACCCCUACCCCAACCACUAACCCUACCCCUAAUCUUAACCCCUUACCCUACUCUAACCACUAACCCUACCCCAACUGCUAACCCUAUCCCUAAACCUAACCUUACUCUAACCC